rnacentral:rRNA from 1 species
GACGAACCGUGCGAACGUUGUUCGGAAUCACUGGGCUUAAAGGGCGCGUAGGCGGACCAUCAAGUCCGGGGUGAAAUCCUCCGGCUUAACCGGAGAAUUGCCUGGGAUACUGGUGGUCUUGAGGGAGGUAGGGGCACGCGGAACUUCCGGUGGAGCGGUGAAAUGCGUUGAUAUCGGAAGGAACGCCGGUGGCGAAAGCGGCGUGCUGGCCCUCUUCUGACGCUGAGGCGCGAAAGCCGGGGGAGCGGAACGGG